rnacentral:rRNA from 1 species
UACGGAGGGUGCAAACGUUGCUCGGAAUCAUUGGGCGUAAAGCGCACGUAGGCGGACCAUCAAGUCGGUUGUGAAAUCCCCAGGCUCAACCUGGGAACUGCGUCCGAUACUGGAUGGCUUGAAUUCGGGAGAGGGAUGCAGAAUUCCAGGUGUAGCGGUGAAAUGCGUAGAUAUCUGGAGGAAUACCGGUGGCGAAGGCGGCAUCCUGGACCGACAUUGACGCUGAGGAGCGAAAGCUAGGGGAGCAAACGGG